rnacentral:rRNA from 1 species
GACGAACGCUGGCGGCGUGCCUAAUACAUGCAAGUAGAACGCUGAAGCUUGGUGCUUGCACCGAGCGGAUGAGUUGCGAACGGGUGAGUAACGCGUAGGUAACCUGCCUGGUAGCGGGGGAUAACUAUUGGAAACGAUAGCUAAUACCGCAUAAGAGUAGAUGUUGCAUGACAUUUGCUUAAAAGGUGCAAUUGCAUCACUACCAGAUGGACCUGCGUUGUAUUAGCUAGUUAGUGAGGUAACGGCUCACCAAGGCAACGAUACAUAGCCGACCUGAGAGGGUGAUCGGCCACACUGGGACUGAGACACGGCCCAGACUCCUACGGGAGGCAGCAGUAGGGAAUCUUCGGCAAUGGACGGAAGUCUGACCGAGCAACGCCGCGUGAGUGAAGAAGGUUUUCGGAUCGUAAAGCUCUGUUGUAAGAGAAGAACGAGUGUGAGAGUGGAAAGUUCACACUGUGACGGUAUCUUACCAGAAAGGGACGGCUAACUACGUG